CUGACCUCUGCCUUCCUCAGACCCACCCUCUUCACCAGCUGUCCUGAACAUCCUCCCAGACAGCCCAUCUGACAAGCCACACCCAGUACUUGUCAUUUGGUGGCUGUGCCAGCCCCGCAAUGGACCUGCUGCUGACCAGCGUGGAAAGUGCAACGUGUACAUGAGGUCAGCAGAAUAACGGACCGCAACUAGAUCCACAUCCUAAUCCCCAGAGCCUUGAGCCGAGUGACAGAGGAAGCACACGCAUGUAAGUUAAAUAAGCAGGGUGGCAAUACACAACCUUGAUGUACUCCUUGCCCUAUUUGGAACCAGCCUGUUGGACUUCCCUGGUGGCUCAGACGGUAAAGCAUCUGUCUACAAUGCGGGAGAUGCGGGUUCAAGCCCUAGGUUGGGAAGAUCUCCUGGAGAAGGAAAUGUCAGUCCACUCCAGUACUAUUGCCUGGAAAAUCACAUGGACAGAGGAGCCUGGUAGGCUACAGUCUAAGAGGUCGAAAAGAGUCAGACACGACUGAGCGACUUCACUUUCACUUUCUGUUGUUCCAUGUUUAGUUCUAACUGUUGCUUUUUGACCUGCAUACAGAUUUCUCAGGAGACAGGUACGGUGUUCUGAUAUUCCCAUCUCUUUAAGAAUUUUCCACAGUUUAUUGUGAUCCACACAAAGGCUUUGGCUUAGUUAAUAAAGCAGAAGUAGAUGUUUUUCUGGAACUCUUCCUUUUUCCAUGAUCUAACGGAUGUUGGCAAUUUGAUUUCUGGUUCCUCUGCCUUUUCUAAAUCCAGCUUGAAUAUCUGGAAGUUCAUGGUUCACAUACUGUUGAAGCCUCGCUUGGAGAGUUUUGAGCAUACUUUGCUAGCAUAUGAGAUGCCUGAAAUUG
ensembl:lncRNA